rnacentral:rRNA from 1 species
AGUGAACGCUGGCGGUAGGCCUAACACAUGCAAGUCGAACGGCAGCACAGGAGAGCUUGCUCUCUGGGUGGCGAGUGGCGGACGGGUGAGGAAUACAUCGGAAUCUACUCUGUCGUGGGGGAUAACGUAGGGAAACUUACGCUAAUACCGCAUACGACCUACGGGUGAAAGCAGGGGACCUUCGGGCCUUGCGCGAUGGAAGGAGCCGAUGUCGGAUUAGCUAGUUGGCGGGGUAAAGGCCCACCAAGGCGACGAUCCGUAGCUGGUCUGAGAGGAUGAUCAGCCACACUGGAACUGAGACACGGUCCAGACUCCUACGGGAGGCAGCAGUGGGGAAUAUUGGACAAUGGGCGCAAGCCUGAUCCCGCCAUACCGCGUGGGUGAAGAAGGCCUUCGGGUUGUAAAGCCCUUUUGUUGGGAAAGAAAUCCAGCUGGCUAAUACCCGGUUGGGAUGACGGCACCCAAAGAAUAAGCACCGGCUAACUUCGUGCCAGCCGCCGCCGUAA